CAGGCUUUGGUUCGGGUUUGGGUUCUGGUUUAGGCAUCGGUUCAGGCUUGGGCUCGGGUUUUGGUUCAGGUUUAGGCAUGGGCUUAGGCAUGGGCUCAGGCUUUGGUUCUGGUUUAGGCAUUGGCUUAGGCUUGGGUUCGGGUUUUGGCUCUGGUUUGGGCAUUGGCUCAGGCUUGGGUUCUGGUUUAGGCAUGGGCUCAGGCUUUGGUUCCGGUUUAAUUGGCUCAGGCUUCGGUUCCGGCUUAGGCAUUGGCUCGGGCUUGGGCUCAGGUUUUGGCUCAGGUUUAGGCAUUGGCUCGGGUUUGGGCUCAGGUUUAGGCUCAGGUUUAGGCACUGGCUCAGGCUUAGGCUCGGGUUUAGGCUCAGGUUUAGGCACUGGCUUAGGCAUGGGCUCGGGUUUUGGUUCCGGUUUAGGCAUUGGCUCAGGUUUGGGCUCGGGUUUAGGCUCGGGUUUAGGCAUUGGCUUAGGCAUGGGCUCGGGUUUUGGUUCCGGUUUGGGCAUGGGCUCUGGUUUUGGCUCGGGUUUUGGCAUUGGCUUAGGCAUGGGCUCUGGUUUUGGUUCCGGUUUAGGCAUCGGCUCAG
rnacentral:lncRNA from 1 species